rnacentral:rRNA from 1 species
GACGAACGCUGGCGGCGUGCUUAACACAUGCAAGUCGAACGAAGAGCGAUGGAAGCUUGCUUCUAUCAAUCUUAGUGGCGAACGGGUGAGUAACGCGUAAUCAACCUGCCCUUCAGAGGGGGACAACAGUUGGAAACGACUGCUAAUACCGCAUACGAUCUAAUCUCGGCAUCGAGGAUAGAUGAACGGUGGCCUCUACAUGUAAGCUAUCACUGAAGGAGGGGAUUGCGUCGGAUUAGCUAGUUGGAGGGGUAACGGCCCACCAAGGCGAUGAUCAGUAGCCGGUCUGAGAGGAUGAACGGCCACAUUGGGACUGAGACACGGCCCAGACUCCUACGGGAAGCAGCAGUGGGGAAUCUUCCGCAAUGGACGAAAGUCUGACGGAGCAACGCCGCGUGAGGGAUGACGGCCUUCGGGUUGUAAAGCUCUGUUAAUCGGGACGAAAGGCCUUCUUGCGAAUAGUGAGAAGGAUUGACGGUACCGGAAUAGAAAGCCACGGCUAACUACGUG